AAGCCUAAAGUCCUCACUCCACAUCCACCCCUCUCUAUUUUCGUCCCUCCUUCCUUCCCCCACCCUCACAACUUUUCUCCCACCAUUAUCACACUCCAUAGAAGCCCUUGAAGCCCCAAGAGAAGUAUCAAAGCAAGGGAGAGCGUGGAAAAACUAGGGCGUAAAGUUAGAGUGAAGGUUGUGCUUCGAGGGUGAGUUUUUCUUUGAUUUUCUCAACUGAAAAAGCUUUAUGGCUAUGGAUUUUUACACAUGUGUGUGAUAUAUAAUGUGAGGAUAUGUUUUAUGAUUUUAGAUGUUCAUUUUGGUAGAGUUUAUUGGGUGAAAAACCGUGCAUGAGGUAAGGCAGCGAAUCUGCCAUAAGCACACUGCUCCGGCAGUGUUUUGCAAGGCGAUUCCAGCCAUCCAAACGGUCCCCAAAAAUUCCCAAAUUAAUUGUGUAUCGUGUUCAAUAUGUUUUCUAUACUAUGAUAGAAUUUCAGAAUAUUUGGAGCUCGUAUGUUUUAUUUAUGAAUUUUUGAUCAUGACUGCCUGUCUGGAAUGCAUUUCUGGUAAACAAUCUUUGAGAGGCCAUAAGUCAAGUUUCAAUCGGUGAAAACCUUUGAAACUUGAAUAUGUCACUCUAGACUCCCGUAUCUUUCUUUUGGUACCGGCCUCACCAUUUUUGAGUAAGGAAAACAAUCGGUAUAAAUUCUUGAAAUCUAGUUCUUAUUCUUUGUACCAUCCAGUAGGUCUUACAAACCUACGACUUUGAGGUAGCAAAGGCCAACCUAAAUCUUUGAUUCUCAAGCCCAUUUUUCUACUGAAUAUUCAUUGACAUGUUGGAAACUUGUCUGUUUCUUUAUAGAAUUUUUGGUAAAGCCUAAAGUGGUUUUUCUGAAUUUAACUUUUAAUCUGCCGAACUUGAACUCUUUUUGUGCACUGAACUUUGGAUGUUAAUAUCUCCUAAACCAUGAAUCUUCUUGGGGUGAAUUCAACUGGAGAGUGUUACACUUUCUCCCUAGUUUUCGGAUUGACCCUUGGAGUUCCUAGUGGCCUUUUGUAAUGGGAGAUAUGAAUUUUUAAAGAAGGCCCAUUGACUUGGUUCUAAUCUGGAAAUCUGAAAUUUCCAGAUUUUUGCUUGUUAAGUACCCAUCUUUGAAUGGGCAUAUCUUGCUCGUUUGAACUCCGUUUCAUUCGAUUCAAAUUGGAGAAUGAUCCUUGAAAUGUCUAGUUUCCAGAAUGUCCUUUGGAGCCUCAUUUAGAGAUCCGAGGCAGAAUUGGUGUCUGUUGCAAAACAGCCCCUUAAGAGCUCAAGUUGUUGAAUUAUUUUCUAAGUUUGAAAGUUGGUUUUAAAGGAUGUUUCAUGAAAUAUUAUGUAUAUGUGCAUGACAAGUUUGGGAUAUGUUUUGUGCAAAGUUUUCAUGAAAUUGAGUGAGUUGGUCUUUUUAGGGCACAUGUGUACCGUAUGAGACUAUUUUGGGCCACAUUUUUGACCCCAAAAAGUGGCAAUAUAAAUGCUGAAAUUGAGUUCAAAUGUGGCCUAAAAAUGACUAAAAACUAAAAUAAUUGGCCUAUUUUUGUAAGUUCCGAAAAAUAAUGGCCUAUUUUUACAAAUAGCCGUAAGAUAAUGGCCUUAAAUAUUUAAAACUCAAUUUAUCAUAGAAGAUAUACGUACNCUGGAAUAUAUUUUUGGUAAAUACUCUUUGGGAGGCCAUAAGUCGAGUUUCGAUCGGUGAAAGCCUUUUAAACUUUAAUAUGUCACUCUAGACUCCCGUAUCUUUCUUUUGGCAUCGGCCUCACCAUUUUUGAGAAAGGAAAACAACCGGUAUAAAUUCUUGAAAUCUAGUUCUUAUUCCUUGUACCAUCCCGUAGGUUUUACAAACCUAUGACUUUGAGCUCGCAAAGGCCGGCUUAAAUCUUUGAUUCUCAAGCCUAUUUUUCUACUUAAUAUUCCCUGACAUGUUGGAAACUUACUUGUUCAGUUUUAGAAUUUUUGGUGAAGCCUAAAGUGGGUUUUCCGAUUUACGAUCUGAAUCUGCCAAACUUGAACUCUUUUUGUGCACUGAACUUUAGACAGUCAUAUCUCCUAAACCAUGAAUCUUCUUGGGGUAAAUCCAAUUGGAGAGUGUUACACUCUCUCCCUAGUUUUCAGAUUGACCCUUGGAGUUCCCAGUGACCUUUUGUAAUGGGAGAUAUGAUUUUUAAGAAGGUCCCAUUGACUUGAUUCUAAUCUGGAAAUCUGAAAUUUCCAGAUUUUUGCUUGUUAAGUACCCAUCUUUGAGAGGGCAUAUCUUGCUCGUUUGAACUUUGUUUCAUUCGAUUCAAAUUGGAGAAUGAUCCUUGAAAUGUCUAGUUUCCAGAAUGUCCUUUGGAGCCUCAUUUGGAGAUCCGAGGCAGAAUUGGUGUCUGUUGCAAAACAGCCCCUUAAGAGCUCAAGUUGUUGAAUUAUUUUCUAAGUUUGAAAGUUGGUUUUAAAGGAUGUUUCAUGAAAUAUUAUGUAUAUGUGCAUGACGAGUUUUGGGAUAUGUUUUGUGCAAAGUUUUCAUGAAAUGUAGUGAGUUACCUAGAUAAGGCAUCAAGAUAAGCUAACGUAUGUAAAAUGCAUAAUCCCUAGCUCGAUUUUGCGUUGUAAGUCCGGGAAUAGGUUGACCUAGAGAUCCUAAGUAGACAAUGGUUUUUGUUAUCCAUGAUAUGCUCUAAGAGUUAAGAACUCGUCUUGUAGGAAUUGGUCCGCAGGACGGUGCCACAGCUUAAGAUCACCUCUCUCUUUCACACCGAAGAUCAGGUGGGUUAUAUUUGCAAAAGUAUAUUGGGUUAGUAAGCCCUCUCUUUUUAAACAAGCAAAUAUGUUUUAAAUUGUGAAUGCAUGCAAAUAUUUUGUUUGGUUGUUACAAAGAACAAACGGGGUUGUCCCACAGAACAAACGGGGUCGUCCCCAAACGAUCGGCUCUGUCCCCGACGGGGGCCAGGGUAGUGUACACCAGUAAGAAGUCUAGGUAUGGGAUUGAUUCGGCCGGGUCUCCCAUACUUAGCACCAAGAAAGGUAACACCAAACCAGAAAGGCGCGCAAAAGUUAAAGGAGCUACGGCUCACAAGUAUUCUGAAUUUAUAGUAAUUAUUUUCAAGGAUUGCUAUAUUUUCUUACAGGCAUGCAUUUCACCAAGUAUCACAGUUCUUUAAAACCAGUUUAAAGAAAAAGGGGACAUUAACUUCACUGAGUGCAUUAGUACUCAGCCCAAAGUUUUAAAUCAUUUCAGGUUAACGGAGUCGGGCGCAGCGGGGGCUAGGUGGUGGUGGUGGUCUGGAGCUGUCGACAAGGUUUCUCAAUGAUAUUUAUUUCCCAUAACCUCGAUCACCAAACAUUUUAUUUUGUUGGUUAUGCCCUGCGUGGCGAUUAUGAGCUUGUUUACUGCUUUCCCUAAACAACUGAACAAUUGAGUUGCUCUUGGGCACUCAGACACCGUGAUAACGAACUCUCUAAACUUGACCGGAGUCCUCAUACUUCGUGUUAAGUUGGGUUUCCUUUGAGCAGAACGAUUAAAGAAUAGGUUCAUUAAUUCCG
rnacentral:lncRNA from 1 species